rnacentral:ncRNA from 1 species
UGACCUCGGAUCAGACGUGAUUACCCGCUGAAUUUAAGCAUAUUAUUAAGCGGAGGAAAAGAAACUAACAAGGAUUCCCUAGUAACGGCGAGUGAACGGGGAAGCCCAACACCGAAUCCCUUGGCGCAAGUCAACGGGAAAUGUGGUGUUAAGGUAGCCCUUCGUGUCAGUCUAGGCGUCUCAAGUCCACCUGAUUGUGGCUCAAGCCAGAGAGGGUGUAAGGCCCGUAGAGACGCUCGACUGAUUCCUGGGGUUUACCUACGAGUCGGCUUGUUUGGGAAUGCAGGCCAAAGCGGUGGUAAACUCCAUCCAAGGCUAAAAUACUGGCACGAGUCCGAUAGCGGACAAGUAACCGUGAGGGAAAGUUGAAAAGAACUUUUGAAGAGAGAGUUCAAUAGUACGUGAAACCGCUUAGAGGCCAAACGGAUGGUGCUCAUACUGGCCUGAGGAAUUCAACUGUGACGGUGGCUGGACGUAGCUGGCGUUUCCGAUCUCUCUUUUGGGGGACGGGGCGUCGGGUUUGGCUAUCAAGCUCCGACAUGGGGCACUUUCCUUGGUGGCCUCCGCCACGACCGACGACACUGGCUACCCGCGGCUGGGGUAAGGUGACAAACUGCUUCGGCAAUUUGUGUUAUAGACCCCCGGCCGUCGGACAUGGUUUUUGGCAGGACGUCGGAGCUUGCGGCGCCCGCUCCUUAGUGUGGCCCUCGCAUGUUGGCUUAGCCUUGGCUGCGCCGAUGCUUGCACUGGGACAAAGACCAGUACAGGUGACGGUGUGGUCUAGUGUCUGCUAGUGCGCCUCUGCGAGUUUGGCGGCCUAUUCAGUCUGUGGUGUACUUGUGGGUAGACUAUCCGUACCGUCUUGAAACACGGACCAAGCGAGUCUAACAUGUGUCCGCGAGGCGUAGUCAUGGGGAUUCUACGAAACCAAAGGCGGCCAGUAAUGAAAGUAGAAGCCUGCCUUCUCGUAGGCUGAGGGUGGGAUCUCGUGUGCAUCGCUUAUUGGCGAGGCGCACAUCGCCGGGCCGCGUCCUAUCUGUCUCUGUCAGUGGGGCGCGGCGCAAGAGCGUACACGUUGUGGACCGAAAGAUGGUGAACUAUGCUUGCGCAGCUCGAAGUCAGUGGAAACACUGGAUGCGAGGAUGCGCAGCGUUUCUGACGUGCAAAUCGAUCGUCAAACGUGAGUAUAGGGGCGAAAGGACGCUAAUCGAACCAUCUAGUAGCUGCUUCCCUCCGAAGUUUCCCUCAGGAUAGGAGACAACU